rnacentral:rRNA from 1 species
ACGUAGGACGCAAGCGUUAUCCGGAAUUACUGGGCGUAAAGGGCGUGUAGGCGGCACGGUAAGUCAACCGUGAAAGCGCCCAGGCUUAACCGGGCGAGGACAAUGAAGACUGGUCAGCUAGAGGACGGUAGAGGGGUGUGGAAUUCCGGGUGUAGUGGUGAAAUGCGUAGAGAUCCGGAGGAACCCCGGUGGCGAAGGCGACUUGCUGGGCCUGAACUGACGCUCAGACGCGAAAGCAUGGGGAGCGAACGG